AUCUAUGGCCAUGCCACCCUGAACAAGUCCGAUCCUGUCUGAUCUUGGAAGCUAAGCAGGGUGGGGCCUGGUUAGUACUUGGAUGGGAGACCACCUAGGAAGACCUAGGUGCUGUAGAUA
rnacentral:rRNA from 1 species